rnacentral:rRNA from 1 species
UACGUAGGGUGCGAGCGUUGUCCGGAAUUAUUGGGCGUAAAGAGCUCGUAGGCGGCUUGUCACGUCGGGUGUGAAAGCCCGGGGCUUAACCCCGGGUCUGCAUUCGAUACGGGCUAGCUAGAGUGUGGUAGGGGAGAUCGGAAUUCCUGGUGUAGCGGUGAAAUGCGCAGAUAUCAGGAGGAACACCGAUGGCGAAGGCAGGUCUCUGGGCCGAUACUGACGCUGAGGAGCGAAAGCGUGGGGAGCAAACAGG